rnacentral:rRNA from 1 species
GACGAACGCUGGCGGCAUGCCUAAUACAUGCAAGUCGAGCGAACAGAUGAAGUGCUUGCACUUCUGACGUUAGCGGCGAACGGGUGAGUAACACGUAAGGAAUCUACCUAUAAGCGGGGGAUAACAUUCGGAAACGGGUGCUAAUACCGUAUAAUAUCUUCUUCCACAUGGAAGAAGAGUGAAAGACGGCUCUGCUGUCACUUAUCGAUUACCUUGUGGUGCAUUAGCUAGUGUGUGGGGUAACGGCCUACCAAGACGAUGAUGCAUAGCCGACGUGAGAGGGUGAUCGGCCACAUUGAGACUGAGACACGGCCCAAACUCCUACGGGAGGCAGCAGUAGGGAAGCUUCCGCAAUGGGCGAAAGCCUGACGGAGCAAUGCCGCGUGAGUGAAGAAGGCCUUCGGGUCGUAAACUCUGUUAUAAGAGAAGAACAAAUUGUAGAGUAACUGCUACAGUCUUGACGGUAUCUUAUCAGAAAGCCACGGCUAACUACGUGCCAGCAGCCGCGGUAA